rnacentral:rRNA from 1 species
ACGGGUGAGUAACGCGUGGUUAAUCUACCCCUGGGUUUGGGAUAACGCGCCGAAAGGUGCGCUAAUACCGGAUAAGACCACGAUGUCUGCGGACAUUGCGGUCAAAGAGGGCCUCUACAUGUAAGCUCUUGCCUGGGGACGAGACCGCGUCCCAUUAGCUUGUUGGUGAGGUAACGGCUCACCAAGGCCACGAUGGGUAGCUGAUCUGAGAGGAUGAUCAGCCACACUGGGACUGGAACACGGCCCAGACUCCUACGGGAGGCAGCAGUGAGGAAUCUUGCGCAAUGGGGGAAACCCUGACGCAGCCACGCCGCGUGGGUGAAGAAGGCCUUCGGGUCGUAAAGCCCUGUCAAGUGGGAAGAACCGCAAGUGGACGGAUAAUCCGCUUGCCUGACGGUACCACUGAAGGAAGCACCGGCUAACUCCGUGCCAGCAGCCGCGGUAAUACGGAGGGUGCAAGCGUUGUUCGGAAUUACUGGGCGUAAAGCGCGUGUAGGCGGACCUAUAAGUCAGAUGUGAAAGCCCUGGGCUCAACCCAGGAAGUGCAUCUGAUACUGUAGGCCUUGAGUCCCGGAGAGGG